AGGUGUCUUCCCGGAGCUACUGCUCACAGAGACAGGAGACGUAUCUGUAAUAUUGUUAAGCAAGCAAAGCAGGAAGGGGAAUUGGAUGUACUUGUCCAUCUAGGGACAAAUGACUUGGCUUGCAAUGAGGUUUCAGAGGUUAAGGAAGUUUUUAGGGUUUUUGCCAAUGAUAUACGGCAGGUUGCUUCCACACUGUCAUUCUCUGAAGUUCUGCCUGUGCAUAACACUCAGAACGAC